UCGCCCUCUCCUUUGGAUGGAAAUGGUAUUCAAUAGAAUCGUGCUAAAUUGACAUCCCCGAAAAAACAACAAAGUAGGGACUUACGAAGCUAUAAGCAUGCAAGUGACACCAAGGAGCUGGAGUCUAUGCCUUUCAAUGCAACUGUUGGAUAGAAACCGAUCAAUAAGAUUCACAGUAAGGAAUGCUAUGUCAAUCAGAGGAGAACUAACCUCUACAAGCCAGUCAAUUAGAAUCCUUCUCAUGGCUGGGUCGAUAUCUCGCUGCACAAGCUCCAUAUAAUUAGCCAAGGGUCGCGGUUGAAGCUGCAGAAAAGAAGCAGCAUACAAGCUGCAACACUGAGGAUCUUUAUCAUUGGAAUCGAUAUCUACAACUUGACAAAAAUCCAUUGCACCAGAACCGUCUUCUUCUGCACAAGCCAAUAAAAGACGCAUACCUUGAGUAAAGAGAAUUGCUACUAAACAAUUUAGCAUCUUGGAGUCCAAUGCUGGAGCAAGAGUUAAUGAGGAAUCAACAAGACCCUUGGAUUAACAAAUACAGUUCUUACGUUGCUCAGUAAUUUCUUCAUCCUUAGAGAUAGAAAGAGAAGCAUAUUGGGAUUCAGCCAUCCUGAUCUUGGACAAAUCUUCAGCUAGUUUCGAUUUUUCAGUAUGCAUAUCAUCCAGAAUUUCCAUGGCAACAUCAGCACCUCCCUUUGCUGCCUUUUUACACUGCUUUAUACUUUUUCUGGUAACCUGCAACGUGAUCUCGAUAAUAUGAAGCUCAAAGGAGAAGCUUGAAGGCUAUAUAACCAACAUAAGAUUUAUAAUAAACAACCAAGAAACGAAAACAAUAUCAUCUGAAAGCUUUACCUUGAUGUUCCCACCUCCCAGGAGGUCUGAAUAUAUAUUUCCUGCAGAGGUAUUACUCACAUCCUGAAGUACUGAACGCUUCUUUUGCUGAUAAACAAGAAUCAGUAAGAUUAGAGAUUUUUCGUAACAUCUGCUGCAACUCGUUUAUGAAAUUUUAUAAGAACAAUGUUU